rnacentral:rRNA from 1 species
AUUGAACGCUGGCGGCAUGCCUUACACAUGCAAGUCGUACGAGAAAGUCCGUUUCGGCGGAUAAGUAAAGUGGCGCAUGGGCGAGUAACGCGUGGAUAAUCUACCCUUUAGUCUGGAAUAACCCAUCGAAAGGUGAGCUAAUACCGGAUAAUACUGCGCAACUACUGUUGUGUAGUCAAAGAUGGCCUCUGCUUGCAAGCUUUCACUGAAGGAUGAGUCCGCGUACCAUUAGCUAGUUGGUAGGGUAAUGGCCUACCAAGGCGACGAUGGUUAGCUGGUCUGAGAGGAUGAUCAGCCACACUGGAACUGAGACACGGUCCAGACUCCUACGGGAGGCAGCAGUGAGGAAUAUUGCGCAAUGGGGGCAACCCUGACGCAGCAACGCCGCGUGAGUGAGGAAGGUUUUCGGACCGUAAAGCUCUGUCGAGCGGGAAGAAAUGCAUGGUGGCUAAUAUCCAUCAUGCUUGACGGUACCGCUAAAGGAAGCACCGGCUAACUCCGUGCCAGCAGCCGCGGUAACAC